rnacentral:lncRNA from 1 species
CUUGGCCUCCCAAAGUGUUGGGAUUACAGGUGUAAGCCACUGAGCCUGGCCAUUAAGUCCCCAUUUCUUUGGGGUCAACUAUUAGAGCUUUAUUUUGUUGCUUUAAAGGUGUCAUAUUUCCUUGAUUCUUUGUAUAUAUAUAUUUUUGAAGACUUGCGCUGCUAUCUUCACAUUUGAAGAAGCGGUCACCUCCUUUAGUCUUACUUGUUUCUUAUUAAAAUUUUUUUAAUGUUUUUUUUUAAGAGAUGGGAUCUCACUAUGUUGCCCAGGGUGGUCUCAAACUCCUGGCCUCAAGUGAUCCUCCCACCUCAGCCUCCCAAAGUGCUGAGAUUACAGGUGUAAGCUACCAUGCCUGGCUGUCCCCCAGUCUUUGUUGACUGGCUUUGGGAGAGAAAGACCUUCAUCAGUCAUCCUAGCUAAGGAUUUGAGGGAUCGCUCAGAUCUUUUCUGUAGAUACACCCACUCUACUCCUGUUGCUCCCUCUUAGGGAGAGAAGUCUUAGGUUGUAAGCUCCUCUCAAUCCUCCAAAGCUGGGUCUACACUGAGCACCUCCCAUUUUCCCUAAUGCAGUGCUCUGAAGCAUUCAAGGUUGGGCACCUUCUCCCAGUCCAGCAGAGUCAAGCCGGCUGCUCAGAUUUGCAUCUGCCGUUGAGAUCUGUGUACUGUUUGGGAGGAGGGUGCAUGAGACACCAUAUGCUCAGGGGUACGUGGAGUGCUGGGGGCAUGGAUCAGUUGGUUGGGGGGCCCACAGGCAAGUUGUUCUGUGGGUUCAUGGGCGGGCCUCCUGGUGGAGUGUUAGCUGGUUAGUGGGAUCCAUGGCUGGCUGUUGGUUGCUAGGCAUGUCCUUCCCUUCUCCUAGCAGUCCCCAGGUGACUCAGCCAUGCUGAUUCCUCAGUGUUCUGGGGAGAGACACAGGUGGGCUAUUGGGCAGCAUCCUAUAAGGUUGGGGAAGCUGGUGCUCACUCAGCACUCAGUUUCCCCUGUGGGAGAAACCACAGGCCCAGGGGGGCCUCAUUGGAGGAGCACUAGCACAGGUAAACUGAACCUUCUUAGCCUCUUCGGUGUGCUCUCUUUGCCCUGUGGGGUGCUAGAACCUCUCAGUGUUUCUGUGGGGGCAUGAGGGCUGGAACCUCCUAUUCUGUCACCUUCCUGGCCUCUUCCUACAAUUAUUUUUAUGCUCAAAUUGCCCCCGAUUUGGACAGGGGGAGAGCCUUCAGGCUGCUCCUCCAGCCCUCUCACAUGUCCCCAACGUUGUUCAGCAUUUCCUUAUUUUCCAGCACUAGACAUUCUAAGGCUCACCCUGUACUCUCUCUGCUCUUCCCUGGAAAUAGUCAUUUCUCCAAAGAGUUCUGUUCCCUUGGAAUAGAGAAUGGUAUUUACAAACCAAGAAAUGGAUUUCAGGUGUGCCAGUUGUUUCUGGGGUGGCAUUGCUUCUAGGCCCCUUCGGUGGACAGAGCUGGGAAAGAAACUGUGUGUAUCAUAUAUAUCUGCACACGUAAGCUGUGUGUGUAUCAUAUAUAAUACAUCUGCACAUAUAAACUGUGUAUGUAUCAUAUAUAAUACAUCUGCACUUAUAAACUGUGUAUGUAUCAUAUAUUAAUACAUCUGCACAUAUAAACUAUCAUCUGUACAUAUAAACUGUAUAUCAUAUAUAUCUGCACAUAUAAACAGUAUCAUAUAAUACAUCUGCACAUGUAAACUGUAUCAUAUCUGCACAUAUAAACUGUAUAUCAUAUAUAUCUGCACAUAUAAACUAUCAUAUAUAAUACAUCUGCACAUACAAACUAUCAUAUCUGCACAUAUAAACUAUAUCAUAUAUAUCUGCACAUAUAAACUAUCAUAUAUAAUACAUCUGCACAUACAAACUAUGUAUCAUAUAUAAUACAUCUGCACUUAUAAACUCUGUGUAUCAUACAUAAUACAUCUGCACAUAUAAACUAUCAUAUCUGUACAUAUAAACUGUGUAUAUCAUAUAUAUGCACAUAUAAACUAUCAUAUAUAAUACAUCUGCACAUACAAACUGUAUGUAUCAUAUAUAAUACAUCUGCACUUAUAAACUGUAUCAUACAUAAUACAUCUGCACAUAUAAACUGUAUCAUAUCUACACAUAAACUGUAUAUAUCAUAUAAUAUAUGCGCAUAUAAACUAUCAUAUAUCUGCACAUAUAAACUAUGUAUCAUAUAUAUCUGCACAUAUAAACUGUGUGUAUCAUAUAUAGUACAUCUGUACAUAUAAACUGUAUCAUAUACAUCUGCACAUAUAAACUAUCAUAUAUAAUACAUCUGCACUUAUAAACUGUGUACCAUAUAUAUCUGCACAUAUAAACUGUAUCAUAUAUAUCUGCACAUAUAAACUAUCAUAUAUAAUACAUCUGCACAUAUAAAUUGUGUAUAAUACAUCUGCACAUAUAAACUGUAUCAUAUAUAAUACAUCUGCACAUAUAAACUAUCAUAUCUGCACAUAUAAACUAUCAUAUCUGCACAUAUAAACUAUCAUAUAUCUGCACAUAUAAACUGUAUCAUAUAUAAUACAUCUGCACAUAUAAACUGUAUCAUAAUACAUCUGCACAUAUAAACUGUCAUGUAUAUCUGCACAUAUAAACUGUAUCAUAUAUAUUUGCACAUAUAAACUGUGUGUAUCAUAUAAUACAUCUGCACAUAUAAACUAUCAUAUAUAAUACAUCUGCACAUAGAAACUGUGUAUCAUAUAUCUGCACAUAUAAGCUGUGUGUGUAUCAUAUAUAUCUGCACAUAUAAACUGUGUGUAUCAUAUAUAAUACAUCUGCACAUAUAAAUGUGUGUAUCAUAUAUAUCCACACAUAUAAACUGUGUGUGUAUCAUAUAUCUACACAUAUAAACUGUGUGUAUCAUAUAUAAUACAUCUGCACAUAUAAACUGUGUGUAUCAUAUAUAUCCGCACAUAUAAACUGUGUGUGUAUCAUAUAUAUCUGCACAUAUAAACUGUGUGUGUAUCAUAUAUAAUACAUCUGCACACAUGCUUCUCUGUAUUGAAAACCAAAUUGUCACGGACCACUCCCAUUCUCACGCAGCAUUUAGGGCUGUGGCUAGCCUUUCCCAGCUGUAAGAAACCUGUCUUUCAGCAUGAUAAACACAUUUACUUAUUUGCUCAGUCCUCUAAUAUGCAGAAAGUAGUUUUAGAAUUGCCAAAACCAUACAACUUGGAAAAACAAGCAUGAUUACUUCAAGAUGUGUUUGUAGCUCCUUCUGUCCUGGCAUUGGACGUGGAGAGAAAGCACAGACUGUUCCAAGUUUCAUUUUUCCCCUUCUCUGAAACGCAGAGAGCGUUGUUUGUUUCUGUUUGUAUUUCAUUUGGGUCCUCCCUCUAGCCUUAUUCAUAAAUUUGUAAAUGAUCUUUAACAAUCUGUUAUAUUUAUGAUGUUUUACUGCGUGCUGCCUGUGAAAAUGUUUCCUUCUUCUGACACGUUCCAGAACAACUAGGCUUUUAAAUUCCAAAUAUUCCUGUUUCACAAUAAACCAGAUGAGGGCCUCUGUUGUGCCACAGCUUUUGGAAUGUGGUUUAUUACCAAUAGAAGUGGCUGCGUGGCUUGUUAUGGUUUCAAUUACACGUGAGUAACAACCGGGGCCCUUCUGUGUCAGGUGCUGCUGAUCAAGGCUGGCUAAUGGGGACCUCGCUGUCCAGAACGGGCGUUUCCCAUGGCCCGGCCCAGCUGUUUACCACUUCUGUCUACCAUUUCAGAGGGGCUUUGCGGAGAUUAAAUGAGGUGAAGCGCUCUGAGAACCUCAGUCCUAAAGAAUAGCAGUUAUACUGGUUUUUGUAUUAUAUUUAUAUAUUCUUCUUGUUAAUAUACUGGUUUUAAUGUUCAUCGUUCUCUUGGGAUCCCAUGACAGUGAGCCUGGUGUACCUGAGGUCUGGGAUACUCACACCUCUCCCCAGUCCCAUGCUCCCCACUGUGGCAGUGCCUGUCAGGGACCCUGCUGACCCCAGGAAGCCUCGGUGUCCCCAGCGCUGGCUCUGCUCACACAGGCAGCAGGCUUAGUGUUCUCUGGCCUGGCUGCACUGACUGGACCAGGGACAGGGGAAGGGCCCCAAAGCACCCUGUUCCAGGCAGCCGGCCAGUCGUGGCCGAGGAGCUCCAUUCAACAGUGGCACCCAGAGGGGCCAGGGUCUCAUAAAGCUGGUCAGACGCCCCCUCUGGGUAGGGGUGUAGGAAGCGGCUGUGCAGCCGGGUCCCAGGUAGGGAGGCAUAGAGUGAAGGCUGUGAGCAGGAGCCCUGGGGCGGAGGGCCAGGAGAAGGCUGGGCACAGGUCCAUCGGUGGCAGCUGGGUGGGCAGAGCAGAGAGGCUGCAUCUGCACGACGGCAGGGCCCUGGUGUGGGAACAGCAGACGGGGCCCCUGGGUGCGGCGCCUCCUUCCCACAUCCCUGCUGCUCCUGCAUCUGCUGCUGGAGAAGACCACGACGUGCUCAGACCCCGGCACUGGAGAACUCCAGAUGUGGUGAGGGCUGCACGUUAGCUGCAUACGCACAUCUGGAAGGUGAGGCAGACGUGCCCACCGCCUCCAUGCCUGGCCCACAGUUGUGGGCAUGCAGAGCUCCUCUGUGGCAGGCCCAGGCUGCACCAGCUGCCUGGAGAGGCACUGGGGGCGGGGCCUCACUUGAGGGGCAGAUUCUCCCACCCAGCCAGUCCAGGCCCAGCGGCUGGAGCAUCCCGUCCAGCAAAUUGUCCUGCAAGUUGCCCUGGAGACCCAGCGUCUCUCAUCACGUCUCACUCCCCUGCCAGAUGCCUCUGCGGCAAUAACGAGAGUGGCUCUGCCUUCUGCACUGAAUGCCGACAGGUGACCAGAACAUGACACUGGGGUUAUGCAGUGCCCUGGUUGAUAUUCUAGUUCAUCAGGGAGCUUCUGGAAUGAUUUUUUUUUUCUUUUUUUUUUUUUUUUGAGACAGAGUCUCUCUCUGUCGCCCAGGCUGGAGUGCAAUGGAGCAAUCUUGGCUCACCACAACCUCUGCCUCCGGGGUUCAAGUGAUUCUCCUGUCUGAGCCUCCUGAGUAGCUGGGAUUACAGGUGUCCACCACUAUCACUCAGUUAAUUUUUAUAUUUUUAGUAGAGAUGGGGUUUCACCAUGUUGCCUGGGCUGGUCUCAAACUCCUGACCUCAGGUGAUCUGCCUCCUCAGCCUCCCAAAGUGCUGGGAUUACAGGCAUGAGCCACCUCACCCAGCCAACUUUCUUUUGCUUCACUUUUCCUCUGGUUGCCCCAUCUUUAUUGUCAAGUCCUGUUAAGAGGAACAACAUUAAAAUGAGAGCUUUCAUGGCAAAAAGGUUGCUGUGGGUUGAGCUUGCAAUGUUAGCUGCGUGUUAGGAUUCAGCUGACAUCUGUCUCUGGAGUCUCGCCCUUUCUGUAAUUCGCUUUUGACUGUAAUAAAUGUUGUACAGUGAAUGUGUGGGUGGGGCCUCUGAGUUACAUCGGCUCAAGGCCUCUUUUAAGGAGGACCCAAAUAAGAGUGGGGAUUGAUGUAUUUGACUGGGAACCCACUCAGGGCCACCAUGCAGUGAAGCUCCGGAGCAGGGGUGUAGACGCCCUGCUUGAAGCGUUGAGAAGCCCCACAGUACAAGUGUGCAGAAGUCAAGCUCCUCCUGCUGGAGCAGGGACAGGGCAAUAGGGAAAGGCUUUUCCAGAGGCAGGGUCAUUGGGACUGGCUCUUCCGGGAGGAGCUGAGGGCACACGCUGGGCAGAGCUGACCUCUGUGUGCGGAUCGCCUGGGAUGGCGCCUCCGGUGGCCUCACGAUAAAGCACCUCAGAGGCAGGAGAUGAACUUGAGACCUGACCGUGAAGGAGUGAGGAGUGAAGUCCUCUUCUCAACAGAAGGAAACCAUCAAAGAGGUUACAUAAUCAAAACUGUGUUGUCAAAAUAUUGCUGGACAGAGAUGGCGGCUGGUCCGGCACGUGGGAAUGUUGGUGACAAGAGGUCAGUUCGGUGGCUCUUGGACCUCCCAGGCCAGGAGGGAAGCGCCCAGGCCAAGGUGGGAGCCUGAGAAUAGAGAUUUCAAGAGACGCUUCUAAUGAAUGCUCAUCAGAAUGUUAUUAUUAUUUUAUUUUAUUAUUUUAUUGGGACUGGAUUGACUUGCAUUUCCUUCACUAAUCAGAAGUUUGAGGGCAAAGAUAAAUCUCAAAUAAUCACCUUGCAUUUCUGAUGAGUUAAAUGAGUGUGUUUUAUGCCCUGGUUGUAUGAGCUUGCUUUUCCACAAAUAAGAGUGGAAAUUUUAUUUUAUUAUUAUUUUGUAUUAUUAUUUUAUUUUAUUUUU